rnacentral:rRNA from 1 species
AUUGAACGCUGGCGGCAGGCCUAACACAUGCAAGUCGAACGCAGUGGGGACGGGUGAGUAACACGUGGGUAACCACCCAUCAGGGGGGAUAACACUUGGAAACAGGUGCUAAACCGAUACUGAUGGAUGGACCCGCGGUGCAUUAGCUAGUUGGUGAGGUAACAGCUCACCAAGGCCACGAUGCAUAACCGACCUGAGAGGGUGAUCAGCCACACUGUGACGGAGACUCGCGCCAGACUCCUACGUGAGGCAGCAGUAGGAAAUGUUCGGCAAGGGGCGAAAGUCUGACCGAGCAACGCCGCGUGAGUGAAGAAGGUUUUCGGAUCGUAAAGCUCUGUUGUUAGAGAAGCGGUAUCUAACCAGAAAGCCACGGCUAACUACGUGCCAGCAGCCGCGGUAAUAC